AAUCGAAUUGAAAUGGGGUUAGAGUGGUGGUUACCCAUGAAAAUUGAGGAAGAGAAGUGAAUGCCCUUCCUGUAGAGUAUUCCAAAUUGGUUGAGAAUUGAGAGAUCGAAGAGUAAGUGGAUUGAAGGUACAAAUGAGUCGUGGGUAACGCAGACGAAGGGAAUAAUAGGGGGAAAAGGAGGCUUGUGAACUGAUGUUGUGGACGGAGGUUGCCUAAGAACGGCGGUGAGGUGCGAUUAGGAGAGCGAGAGAGAAAAACCGACGGAGAUUGGGAGAAUG
rnacentral:lncRNA from 1 species